CCUACGGGGGGCAGCAGUGAGGAAUAUUGGUCAAUGGGCUUACGCCUGAACCAGCCAAGUCGCGUGAGGGAAGACUGCCCUAUGGGUUGUAAACCUCUUUUGUCAGGGAGCAAUUGGCGCUACGUGUAGCGUUAUCGAGAGUACCUGAAGAAAAAGCAUCGGUUAACUCCGUGCCAGCAGCCGCGGUAAUACGGAGGAUGCGAGCGUUAUCCGGAUUUAUUGGGUUUAAAGGGUGCGUAGGCGGAAUGCCAAGUCAGCGGUAAAAUCGCGGGGCUCAACCUCGCUCCGCCGUUGAAACUGGCGGUCUUGAGUGGGCGAGAAGUAUGCGGAAUGCGUGGUGUAGCGGUGAAAUGCAUAGAUAUCACGCAGAACUCCGAUUGCGAAGGCAGCAUACCGGCGCCCAACUGACGCUGAAGCACGAAAGCGUGGGUAUCGAACAGGAUUAGAUACCCGUGUAGUC
rnacentral:rRNA from 1 species